GACGAACGCUGGCGGCGUGCCUAAUACAUGCAAGUCGAGCGGACAGAAGGGAGCUUGCUCCCGGAAGUUAGCGGCGGACGGGUGAGUAACACGUGGGCAACCUACCCUGUAGAUCGGGAUAACAUCGAGAAAUCGGUGCUAAUACCGGAUAAUCAUUUGAAGUGCAUGCUUCGAAUGUAAAAGAUGGCUCCGGCUAUCACUACGGGAUGGGCCCGCGGCGCAUUAGCUAGUUGGUAGGUAAUGGCUUACCAAGGGAACGAUGCGUAGCCGACCUGAGAGAGUGAUCGGCCACACUGGGACUGAGACACGGCCCAGACUCCUACGGGAGGCAGCAGUAGGGAAUCUGCCGCAAUGGACGAAAGUCUGACGGAGCAACGCCGCGUGAGUGAUGAAGGUUUUCGGAUCGUAAAGCUCUGUUGUUAGGGAAGAACAAGUGCCGUUUGAAUAAGGCGGCACCUUGACGGUACCUAACCAGAAAGCCACGGCUAACUACGUGCCAGCCGCCGCAGUAAGAC
rnacentral:rRNA from 1 species